AGCGAACAUUGGCGGUAGGCUUAACACAUGCAAGUCGAGUGAGGCGUAAUAGUCGAGCGGCGAACGGGUGCGUAAUACAUGGGAAUCUACCUCGAAGUGGGGGAUAACGUUCAGAAAUGGACGCUAAUACCGCAUAAUCCAUAUUGGGAAAGCGUUGCAGCGCUUUGAGAUGAGCCCAUGGCUGAUUAGCUAGUUGGUGAGGUAAUGGCUCACCAAGGCGACGAUCAGCAGCUGGUCUGAGAGGAUGACCAGCCACUCUGGAACUGAGACACGGUCCAGACUCCUACGGGAGGCAGCAGUGGGGAAUCUUGCGCAAUGGGGGCAACCCUGACGCAGCCAUACCGCGUGAGUGAUGAAGGUCUUCGGAUUGUAAAGCUCUUUCGGCGGGGACGACGAUGACGGUACCCGCAAAAGAAGUCACGGCUAACUUCGUGCCAGCCGCCGCCGUAA
rnacentral:rRNA from 1 species